rnacentral:rRNA from 1 species
GUCCAUGCCGUAAACGUUGGGAACUAGAUGUAGGGCCUAUUCCAUGGGUUCUGUGUCGUAGCUAACGCAUUAAGUUCCCCGCCUGGGGAGUACGGCCGCAAGGCUAAACUCAAAGGAAUUGACGGGGCCCGCACAAGCGGCGGAGCAUGCGGAUUAAUUCGAUGCAACGCGAAGAACCUUACCAAGGCUUGACAUAUACGAGAACGGGCGAGAGAUCGUCAACUCUUUGGACACUCGUAAACAGGUGGUGCAUGGUUGUCGU